ACGGCCCACCAUGGCGACGAUCGGUAGCCGGACUGAGAGGUUGAACGGCCACAUUGGGACUGAGACACGGCCCAGACUCCUACGGAGGCAGCAGUGGGGAAUAUUGCACAAUGGGGGAAACCCUGAUGCAGCGACGCCGCAUGGAGGAAGAAGGUCUUCGGAUUGUAAACUCCUGUCCCAGGGGACGAUAAUGACGGUACCCUGGGAGGAAGCACCGGCUAACUACGUGCCAGCAGCCGCGGUAAAACGUAGGGUGCAAGCGUUGUCCGGAAUUACUGGGUGUAAAGGGAGCGCAGGCGGAUUGGCAAGUUGGGAGUGAAAUCUAUGGGCUCAACCCAUAAAUUGCUUUCAAAACUGUCAGUCUUGAGUGGUGUAGAGGUAGGCGGAAUUCCCGGUGUAGCGGUGGAAUGCGUAGAUAUCGGGAGGAACACCAGUGGCGAAGGCGGCCUACUGGGCACUAACUGACGCUGAGGCUCGAAAGCAUGGGUAGCAAACAGGAUUAGAUACCCUGGUAGUCCAUGCCGUAAACGAUGAUUACUAGGUGUGGGAGGAUUGACCCCUUCCGUGCCGCAGUUAACACAAUAAGUAAUCCACCUGGGGAGUACGACCGAAUUCGAAGCAACGCGAAGAACCUUACCAGGUCUUGACAUCGGAUGCAUACCUAAGAGAUUAGGGAAGUCCUUCGGGACAUCCAGACAGGUGGUGCAUGGUUGUCGUCAGCUCGUGUCGUGAGAUGUUGGGUUAAGUCCCGCAACGAGCGCAACCCUUAUCGUUAGUUACUACGCAAGAGGACUCUAGCGAGACUGCCGUUGACAAAACGGAGGAAGGUGGGGAUGACGUCAAAUCAUCAUGCCCUUUAUGACCUGGGCUACACACGUACUACAAUGGCUAUUAACAGAGAGAAGCGAUACCGCGAGGUGGAGCAAACCUCACAAAAAUAGUCUCAGUUCGGAUCGCAGGCUGCAACCCGCCUGCGUGAAGCCGGAAUUGCUAGUAAUCGCGGAUCAGCAUGCCGCGGUGAAUACGUUCCCGGGCCUUGUACACACCGCCCGUCACACCAUGAGAGCCGGGGGGACCCGAAGUCGGUAGUCUAACCGUAAGGAGGACGCCGCCGAAGGUAAAACUGGUGAUUGGGGUGAAGUCGUAACAAGGUAGCCGUA
rnacentral:rRNA from 1 species